AAAAGAAACUAACAAGGAUUCCCCUAGUAACGGCGAGUGAAGAGGGAAGAGCUCAAAUUUUAAAUCUGCCUUGUUUCAAGGUCGAGUUGUAAUUUGAAGAAGCGUUUUCUUGGGCUCGCGGCCGGUAGAAGUUCUUUGGAACAGGACAUCAUAGAGGGUGACAAUCCCGUCUGCGACCGGUCGUGCGUUCAUCUACGAUACGCUUUCAAAGAGUCGAGUUGUUUGGGAUUGCAGCUCCAAAUGGGUGGUAAACAUCACCUAAGGCUAAAUAUUGGCGAGAGACCGAUAGCGAACAAGUACCGUGAGGGAAAGAUGAAAAGAACUUUGAAAAGAGAGUUAAACAGUACGUGAAAUUGUUGAAAGGGAAACGAUUGAAGUCAGUCGUGCUGGCGCGAAAUCAACCCUCUCAUCGSGAGAUCACAUGGUGUGGCGAGCCUCAAAACCGUCACARCGUGUGACCUCUCGAUGAGGGGGAGCACUUUCGUGUCCGCUGGUUAACAUCAAUUUCGAACGUCAUAAAAAGGCUGGAGGGAUGUGGCUCCUUCGGGAGUGUUAUAACCUUUAGCGGAAUGUGGUGGUCGGGAUUGAGGAUUGCAACGAAUACCUUUAGGGCUGUUCCACCUGGCYUCUCUUUGGYAUCCUGGUGACGACAGCUUGCUGACGUUGUUAGGAHUCGCCUUUGAACAGGCUAGAGUGUGAGCAAAUUCGUUAAGGAUGUUAACGUAAUGGCUUUAAACGACCCGUCUUGAAACACGGACCAAGGAGUCUAGCAUAUAUGCGAGUGUUUGAGUGUYGAAACUCGAGCGCGAAAUGAAAGUGAUAUUGGUAAGAUCCUCUUCCCCUCGGGGGAGCGGAGCAUUAUCGACCGAUCUGGAUAUUCUUUGAUAGAUUUG
rnacentral:rRNA from 1 species